GGUGUUAUGGCUCAGUCGGUAGAGCAUGGCACUUGCAACGCCAUGGGUCGUGGAUUCAAUUCCAGCUGUGGCCA
rnacentral:tRNA from 1 species